CCGGUUCCGGUUCACGUCCGCAUGAUCAGUCGGGCGACCCGGGGCA
ncrna:unclassified sequences L31-Actinobacteria ribosomal protein leader